rnacentral:tRNA from 1 species
GCCUGGGUGGCUCAGUUGUUUAAGUAUCUGACUUCAGUUCAGGUCAUGAUCAUGUGGUUUGUGGGUUCGAGCUCCGCAUCAGGCU